rnacentral:rRNA from 1 species
UACGGAGGAGGCGAGCGUUAUCCGGAUUUAUUGGGUUUAAAGGGUGCGUAGGCGGACGCUUAAGUCAGCGGUAAAAUUGCGGGGCUCAACCUCGUCGAGCCGUUGAAACUGGGUGCCUUGAGUGGGCGAGAAGUACGCGGAAUGCGUGGUGUAGCGGUGAAAUGCAUAGAUAUCACGCAGAACUCCGAUUGCGAAGGCAGCGUACCGGCGCCCAACUGACGCUGAAGCACGAAGGCGUGGGUAUCGAACAGG